rnacentral:piRNA from 1 species
UNGGCAUGAGUGCUUCCUUUCUUGAUGGCU